CGCCCGCCGCGCGCGGCGGGCGGGGCGGGGGCACGGGGGGCCUACGGGAGGCAGCAGUGGGGAAUCUUGGACAAUGGGCGCAAGCCUGAUCCAGCAAUGCCGCGUGGGUGAAGAAGGCCUUCGGGUUGUAAAGCUCUGUCUUCCCUGACGAUAAUGACGGUAAGGGAGGAGGAAGUCACGGCUAACUACGUGCCAGCAGCCGCGGUAAU
rnacentral:rRNA from 1 species